AGUGAACGCUGGCGGUAGGCCUAACACAUGCAAGUCGAACGGCAGCACAGUAAGAGCUUGCUCUUACGGGUGGCGAGUGGCGGACGGGUGAGGAAUACAUCGGAAUCUACUUUUUCGUGGGGGAUAACGUAGGGAAACUUACGCUAAUACCGCAUACGACCUACGGGUGAAAGCAGGGGAUCUUCGGACCUUGCGCGAUUGAAUGAGCCGAUGUCGGAUUAGCUAGUUGGCGGGGUAAAGGCCCACCAAGGCGACGAUCCGUAGCUGGUCUGAGAGGAUGAUCAGCCACACUGGAACUGAGACACGGUCCAGACUCCUACGGGAGGCAGCAGUGGGGAAUAUUGGACAAUGGGCGCAAGCCUGAUCCAGCCAUACCGCGUGGGUGAAGAAGGCCUUCGGUUGUAAAGCCCUUUUGUUGGGAAAGAAAAGCAGCAGGUUAAUACCCCGCUGUUCUGACGGUACCCAAAGAAUAAGCACCGGCUAACUUCGU
rnacentral:rRNA from 1 species